rnacentral:lncRNA from 1 species
AUCAAAAGCUACAGGCGAACUAAAACAACAGACUAUACUCAAUCAACUAAACAAAACUCCUUCAAUAGCAAUGAAUUUAAGUAAUGUGUUAUUUUAGCAGGGUUCAUUUUAUACCAAUUCAUGAACUCUAUACUUGUAGUAGUAGUUAAAACUGUGAAAAUUGAAUAGUUUGUGAAAACUUGAGUUAUCUAACUUCUCUAGUGCAAUUUAUGCUUACAAUGAUACUAUAGUUAUUCACCAUUCUCUCAAAAGAGUCUCCUCUACAUUGUGAAUAUGAUGAAGCAGCACUUUAACACAUCUAAUUCAUCACUUCAAAGAAACCUAUGUACAAUGCAUAACCAACACGAUCCAUCCCAUGUAACUCUGGCAUGCGUCGAUGAUGAAUGCUAGACCCAUAGUGGAUAUGGCGCCUAGCUCACAUUCACCAUAGGUGCACAUCACAUUUCGAGUCCACUAGAACUACACAGGCAGAUCGUGUCAACAAAUAUAUAAUGAAAUAUCAUCGUUCGUAGUAUCUAAAGCUGCGUACCUAGGAGAAAACAUGGAAAGUCCCUAUAUCAAUACUAAAGUAUAUAUUCAAUAGUCGUUUUGAUACAACUUAAAAUAUAUAGCCUAGUUUAGUAUAGCCUUCUCAAAAACACGCAUUCCUAAAUUUGCAAGUGUAUAUGCUCCUCUUUCGUCUUCAAUUGUGAUUUAAUUUUGUGACGAAAAAAAUUUGCGACAACAACAUAAAUUUCUUACGCAUAUAACAUUACAUAACAAGUAAUAAAAUGAACCCUACAUCAUGAUGUGAAAUGUAAUGUCGAAAAAAAAGUUCGAAAAUCUGCUCUACAUGCUAAGAAUUAAUUUUCUGAAAUAAGAGUGUAAUGUGCAUAUAUGAACAAAGCGAUUCAGAGGCACAAAUUACCGGUAAAGUGACAACCACUUCAGAAGAUUGAACACAUAGUUAUAUGGUAACAAAUAAAGCCUAUCAGUUACAUGCAUACUCUACCUACCGUAAGAUUUAUAUUAUUUAUUUUUUGAGCCAUAUUGCUUAAACUUUAUCCCAUAUUAAGAAACACUUCUCCUUUUGGGCAAUCAUAGGGACUAAGGCUCUGUUUGAGCCCCUUUUUUUGGGAGACGUAGAUUUUGUUUUAGUGAUUUUUUCAGAAACUAUGUGGUUAAAAAGUUUUGGGUUUAUGUGUAAAAAUCAUUUAUGGAGAGAACGUAUAGUUGAAAAUGAGUUUUGGAAAAAAAA